ACCUCGUGGUUCGGACAUUGUACGACUUUUCCAUUGAAUCUUUCCCAUACCUCGUACAAGAUUUCUCCAUUCAAUUGCCUAAAGUUAAUGAUUUCAUUAUACAAUU